rnacentral:tRNA from 1 species
ACUUUUAAAGGAAACCAGCAACCCACUAGCCUUAGGAGCUAACACUCU